rnacentral:rRNA from 1 species
AAUUUUGGACAAUGGGGGAAACCCUGAUCCAGCCAUCCCGCGUAUGAUGAAGGCCUUCGGGAUGUAAAGUACUCUUGUCUUAGAGGAAAAUGUAUCCCCUAAUACGGGAUAUUGCGUACGUUAUCUGCAGAAUAAGCACCGGCUAACUACGUCCCAGCAGCCGCGGUAAUAAGAAGGGUGCAAGCGUUAAUCGGAAUUAUGGGGCGUAAAGUGUGUGUAGGCGGUUCGGAAAGAAAGAUGUGAAAUCCCAGGGCUCAACCUUGGAACUGCAUUUUUAACUGCCGAGCUAGAGUAUGUCAGAGGGGGGUAGAAUUCCACGUGUAGCAGUGAAAUGCGUAGAUAUGUGGAGGAAUACCGAUGGCGAAGGCAGCCCCCUGGGAUAAUACUGACGCUCAGACACGAAAGCGUGGGGAGCAAACAGG